rnacentral:lncRNA from 1 species
GAUGGCUUUAUAAUAUCUUCUUGUUUUGAGUGGGUUUUCAGUAUCCACGAAAUUUUUAUCAUUGUAGACCGGUUUGAUUAGUUGAUCUAAUGGAUAUCCUUCAUAUUCCUUAUCUAAAGCAAUAAUUGGCAUUACUUGAGUGGUAAUGAAUUUGAAUUCUUCCUUGAUGGGAGGAGUUGGUAUUGGUUUAACCACUGUGGGGUCUACAGCUUGGGCGAAGGUUUCAGGAGCCUUCAUAGCGUAACUCUGUUUGGACUGAAUAGAUGAACUCGAUGAU